rnacentral:rRNA from 1 species
GACAGAGGAUGCAAGCGUUAUCCGGAAUUAUUGGGCGUAAAGCGUCUGUAGGUGGCUUUUCAAGUCCGCCGUCAAAUCCCAGGGCUCAACCCUGGACAGGCGGUGGAAACUACCAAGCUAGAGUACGUUCGGGGCAGAGGGAAUUCCUGGUGUAGCGGUGAAAUGCGUAGAGAUCAGGAAGAACACCGGUGGCGAAGGCGCUCUGCUAGGCCGUAACUGACACUGAGGGACGAAAGCUAGGGGAGCGAAUGGG